UGAGGGAAUAUUUGGGGUCAAUGGACGAGAGUCUGAACCAGCCAAGUAGCGUGCAGGAUGACGGCCCUCCGGGUUGUAAACUGCUUUUAGUUGGGAAUAAAAAAGAUGACGUGUCAUCUAUUGUAUGUACCAUCAGAAAAAGGACCGGCUAAUUCCGUGCCAGCAGCCGCGGUAAUACGGAAGGUCCAGGCGUUAUCCGGAUUUAUUGGGUUUAAAGGGAGCGUAGGCGGGCUGUUAAGUCAGCUGUGAAAUCCGGCGGCUCAACCGUCGGCCUGCAGUUGAUACUGGUGGCCUUGAGUGCGCGCAGGGGCGUUGGAAUUCAUGGUGUAGCGGUGAAAUGCUCAGAUAUCAUGAAGAACUCCGAUCGCGAAGGCAGAUGCCCGGAGCGCAACUG
rnacentral:rRNA from 1 species